UACGUAGGCAGCGAGCGUUGUUCGGAGUUACUGGGCGUAAAGCGUGCGCAGGCGGCUUUGCAAGACAGAUGUGAAAUCCCCGGGCUCAACCUGGGAACUGCAUUUGUGACUGCAUGGCUAGAGUACGGUAGAGGGGGAUGGAAUUCCGCGUGUAGCAGUGAAAUGCGUAGAUAUGCGGAGGAACACCGAUGGCGAAGGCAAUCCCCUGGACCUGUACUGACGCUCAUGCACGAAAGCGUGGGGAGCAAACAGG
rnacentral:rRNA from 1 species